AGGGAUUUAGCUUAGUGGCACAGUGCCCGCCUGGCACGCAUGAGGCCCGAGUUCAAUUCCCGGUACCCUUC
rnacentral:tRNA from 1 species